GACGAACGCUGGCGGCGUGCCUAAUACAUGCCAGUAGAACGCACAGUUUAUACCGUAGCUUGCUACACCAUAGACUGUGAGUUGCGAACGGGUGAGUAACGCGUAGGUAACCUGCCUGGUAGCGGGGGAUAACUAUUGGAAACGAUAGCUAAUACCGCAUAAUAUUAAUUAUUGCAUGAUAAUUAAUUGAAAGGUGCAAUUGCACCACUACCAGAUGGACCUGCGUUGUAUUAGCUAGUAGGUGAGGUAACGGCUCACCUAGGCGACGAUACAUAGCCGACCGGAGAGGGUGAUCGGCCACACUGGGACUGAGACACGGCCCAGACUCCUACGGGAGGCAGCAGUAGGGAAUCUUCGGCAAUGGACGAAAGUCUGACCGAGCAACGCCGCGUGAGUGAAGAAGGGUUUCGGAUCGUAAAGCUCUGUUGUAAGAGAAGAACGGGUGUGAGAGUGGAAAGUUCACACUGUGACGGUAUCUUACCAGAAAGGGACGGCUAACUACGUG
rnacentral:rRNA from 1 species